AAUACCGGAUAUGACCGAUCACCGCAUGGUGUGUUGGUGGAAAGCUUUUGUGGUUUUGGAUGGACUCGCGGCCUAUCAGCUUGUUGGUGAGGUAAUGGCUCACCAAGGCGACGACGGGUAGCCGGCCUGAGAGGGUGACCGGCCACACUGGGACUGAGACACGGCCCAGACUCCUACGGGAGGCAGCAGUGGGGAAUAUUGCACAAUGGGCGCAAGCCUGAUGCAGCGACGCCGCGUGAUGGAUGAAGGCCUUCGGGUUGUAAACAUCUUUCAGUAGGGAAGAAGCGAAAGUGACGGUACCUGCAGAAGAAGCGCCGGCUAACUACGUGCCAGCAGCCGCGGUAAUACGUAGGGCGCAAGCGUUAUCCGGAAUUAUUGGGCGUAAAGAGCUCGUAGGCGGUUUGUCGCGUCUGCUGUGAAAGCCCGGGGCUCAACCCCGGGUCUGCAGUGGGUACGGGCAGACUAGAGUGCAGUAGGGGAGACUGGAAUUCCUGGUGUAGCGGUGAAAUGCGCAGAUAUCAGGAGGAACACCGAUGGCGAAGGCAGGUCUCUGGGCUGUAACUGACGCUGAGGAGCGAAAGCAUGGGGAGCGAACAGGAUUAGAUACCCUGGUAGUCCAUGCCGUAAACGUUGGGCACUAGGUGUGG
rnacentral:rRNA from 1 species